rnacentral:rRNA from 1 species
AACAGGAUUAGAUACCCUGGUAGUCCACGCCGUAAACGAUGAGUGCUAAGUGUUAGGGGGUUUCCGCCCCUUAGUGCUGCAGCUAACGCAUUAAGCACUCCGCCUGGGGAGUACGGCCGCAAGGCUGAAACUCAAAGGAAUUGACGGGGGCCCGCACAAGCGGUGGAGCAUGUGGUUUAAUUCGAAGCAACGCGAAGAACCUUACCAGGUCUUGACAUCCCGCUGACCGCCCAGGAGACUGGGCUUUCCCUUCGGGGACAGCGGUGACAGGUGGUGCAUGGUUGUCGUCAGCUCGUGUCGUGAGAUGUUGGGUUAAGUCCCGCAACGAGCGCAACCCUUGAUCUUAGUUGCCAGCAUUCAGUUGGGCACUCUAAGGUGACUGCCGGUGACAAACCGGAGGAAGGUGGGGAUGACGUCAAAUCAUCAUGCCCCUUAUGACCUGGGCUACACACGUGCUACAAUGGACGGUACAAAGGGCUGCCAACCCGCGAGGGGGAGCCAAUCCCAGAAAACCGUUCUCAGUUCGGAUUGCAGGCUGCAACUCGCCUGCAUGAAGCCGGAAUCGCUAGUAAUCGUGGAUCAGCAUGCCACGGUGAAUACGUUCCCGGGCCUUGUACACACCGCCCGUCACACCACGAGAGUUUGUAACACCCGAAGUCGGUGAGGUAACCACUUGUGGAGCCAGCCGCCGAAGGUGGGACAGAUGAUUGGGGUGAAGUCGUAACAAGGUAACC